GAAAUACGAUAAGUAGUGUAAAUUGCAGAAUUCAGUAAAUCAUCGAAUCUUUAAACGCACAUUGCGCCCUUUAGUAUUCCUUAGGGCAUGCCUGUUCAAGCGUCAUUUAAACCUUCAAGCUCAGCUUAGUGUUAGGUGACUGUCCGCCGCCUCCAGGCGGUCGGACUCGCCUCAAAUUAAUUAGCAGCCGGUACUUUGGCUUCGAGCGCAGCAGAAACGCGAACUCAAGGCCGUCGUCCUGGCUCCUAGAAGCUAUCUUCACAAUUUUGACCUCAGAUUAGGUAGGGAUACCCGCUGAACUUAA
rnacentral:misc_RNA from 1 species